CAGGAUGUUGGCUUAGAAGCAGCCAUCAUUUAAAGAAAGCGUAAUAGCUCACUGAUCGAGUCGUCCUGCGCGGAAGAUGUAACGGGGCUAAGCCAGUUACCGAAGCUGCGGAUUUGCACGCAAGUGCAAGUGGUAGGAGAGCGUUCUGUACGCCUGUGAAGGUGGAUCGUGAGGUCUGCUGGAGGUAUCAGAAGUGCGAAUGCUGACAUGAGUAGCGUUAAAGGGGGUGAAAAGCCCCCUCGCCGAAAGCGCAAGGUUUCCUACGCAACGUUCAUCGGCGUAGGGUGAGUCGGCCCCUAAGGCGAGGCAGAGAUGCGUAGCUGAUGGGAAACAGGUCAAUAUUCCUGUACCGAUGUGUAGUGCGAUGUGGGGACGGAGAAGGUUAACUCGGCCGGGUGUUGGAUGUCCCGGUUCAAGCGUGUAGGUUGGUUCUUUAGGCAAAUCCGGAGAGCUAAGACUGAGACGUGAUAACGAGCGUACUUGUACGUGAAGUGAUUGAUACCAUGCUUCCAAGAAAAGCCACUAAGCUUCAGUUGUAUAGAGACCGUACCGCAAACCGACACAGGUGGGCAGGAUGAGAAUUCUAAGGCGCUUGAGAGAACCCGGGAGAAGGAACUCGGCAAAUUAGCACCGUAACUUCGGGAGAAGGUGCGCCCCGGUAACGUGUAUAGACUUGCUCUAGAAGCGUGAUGGGGUUGCAGUGAAAAGGUGGCUGCGACUGUUUAAUAAAAACACAGCACUCUGCAAACACGAAAGUGGACGUAUAGGGUGUGACGCCUGCCCGGUGCUGGAAGAUUAAAUGAUGGGGUGCAAGCUCUUGACUGAAGUCCCAGUAAACGGCGGCCGUAACAAUAACGGUCCUAAGGUAGCGAAAUUCCUUGUCGGGUAAGUUCCGACCCGCACGAAUGGCGUAACGAUGGCGGCGCUGUCUCCACCCGAGACUCAGUGAAAUUGAAAUCGCUGUGAAGAUGCAGUGUAUCCGCGGCUAGACGGAAAGACCCCGUGAACCUUUACUAUAGCUUUGCACUGGACUUUGAGCUUGCUUGUGUAGGAUAGGUGGGAGGCUUUGAAGCGGUGCCGCUAGGUGUCGUGGAGCCAACGUUGAAAUACCACCCUGGUGUGUUUGAGGUUCUAACCU
rnacentral:rRNA from 1 species